rnacentral:rRNA from 1 species
GACGAACGCUGGCGGCGUGCUUAACACAUGCAAGUCGAACGAAGAGCGAUGGCAUCUUGCUUCUAUUAAUCUUAGUGGCGAACGGGUGAGUUACGCGUAAUCAACCUGCCCUUCAGAUGGGCCAACAGUUGGAAACGACUGCUAAUACCGCAUACGAUCUCAUCUCGGCGUCGGGGAUAGAUGAUAGUUGGCUUCUAUAUGUAAGCUACCACUGAAGUUGGGGGUUGCGUCUGAUUGGCUAGUUGGGGGGGUAACGGCCCACCAAGGCGAUGAUCAGCGGCCGGUCGGGGAGGAGGAACGGCCACAUUGGGACUGAGACACGGCCCAGGCUCCUACGGGAGGCAGCAGUGGGGAAUCUUCCGCAAUGGACGAAAGUCUGACGGAGCAACGCCGCGUGAGUGAUGACGGCCUUCGGGUUGUAAAGCUCUGUUAAUCGGGACGAAAGGCCUUCUUGCGAAUAGUGAGAAGGAUUGACGGUACCGGAAUAGAAAGCCACGGCUAACUACGU